UUUUCUUUUGUGCACAAUAGUUUACUUUAGUUUCUAGGACGCGCUUUUGUUGAUGCCAUUCGCUUCCUUGCUUCUGUUGUGGCUGUACUGAUGGCAGAUCUUUGGUUGGAGUUGUUUUCUUUGGGGUUUGUUUCCUCGGUAUUGGGGACGCAGGUUUGGGACUCUGUGUAGUCUAGCCUGAGUGUAUGGUUUGGGCCUUGCAUCCAUGGCUUUAGAUUGUGGGCUGAAUUAAGACGCUGAGAUUAAGCGUGCUCCGUGACCUGUACAAGCAACGAGAAACAUUGAGCUAUCAGCAAGCAGGUGGACCCAGCCUUUCGGUGGGUGGAGAAUUAAAAACAAAAAAAAAACUUGUUUUACUUCCUUGAAAAAAAAAUAUUUAAAAAUCCCAUAAUGCAACUGAAAAUGUCCACCAGCCUGACACAUGCAUGAGAAAAGGAACCGCCUCUACUGGUGAAAUGUCAGAGAUGUCAGAGAUCUAAGUGUUUGCGCUGUCAUUUGAGCUAAGGUGCGAAAAAAAUGUAGUAAUUUGAAGUUUGAAAAAAAAAAACCACUUGUCAAUCCCCGUUAUCAAAUGUAAACAUGGAUCUCAUUUCUUUGAACGUCGUAGUGUCUACAUUCACAUCUACAACAACGGCCAAUCACACACCGAAGCAGUUUGUUCAUGGAAAUUACUUUUGCGUUCAAAGAGUUUUUUUUAUCUUUCCAAGUUAUCCAAGAGCUUUUGGAAAAACGUGUUUACUAUCCUGGAGAAAACGUGUUUUACAAUAAUGCAUUACCCAUAAGAAAAGAUUACAAUUCAAACGAAAUGUACAUUCGCACAAGUCACAAUGAAACCUAACUAAAGGGACUUGACUACAGAAAGUUGGCGUCUCUUCAAGAAUUAAACU